UACGAAGGGGGCUAGCGUUGUUCGGAUUUACUGGGCGUAAAGCGCACGUAGGCGGAUUGGUCAGUUAGAGGUGAAAUCCCGAAGCUCAACUUCGGAACUGCCUUUAAUACUGCCAGUCUAGAGUCCGGAAGAGGUAAGUGGAACUCCUAGUGUAGAGGUGGAAUUCGUAGAUAUUAGGAAGAACACCAGUGGCGAAGGCGGCUUACUGGUCCGGAUACUGACGCUGAGGUGCGAAAGCGUGGGGAGCAAACAGG
rnacentral:rRNA from 1 species